rnacentral:rRNA from 1 species
UACGUAGGGUCCGAGCGUUGUCCGGAAUUACUGGGCGUAAAGAGCUCGUAGGUGGUUUGUCGCGUUGUUCGUGAAAACUCACAGCUCAACUGUGGGCGUGCGGGCGAUACGGGCAGACUAGAGUACUGCAGGGGAGACUGGAAUUCCUGGUGUAGCGGUGGAAUGCGCAGAUAUCAGGAGGAAUACCGGUGGCGAAAGCGACUCUCUGGACGGUAACUGACGCUGAGGCACGAAAGCGUGGGGAGCAAACAGG